CAGCCCCACUCUCUGUGCCGUUCCCUUCCUGUCUCCAGAACAGACUCCACAGUCCUCACCAUGCAGUCUGCCCUCAGUCUGCUCUCCAUCCUGACUUUGCUCCAAGGUGUCCAGUGUGAUGUCCAGCUGGUGGAGUCCGGAGGAGACGUGAGACAGCCUGGGGGGUCUCUGCGCCUCUCCUGUAAAACUUCUGGAUUCUCCUUCAGUGAUGGCUACUAUAUAAGCUGGGUCCGCCAGGCUCCAGGGAAGGGACUGGAGUGGGUUGCAUCUAUAUAUACCAGCGGUACUAGCACAUACUAUCCAGACUCUAUGAAAGGCCGAUUCACCAUUUCCAAAGACAACGCCAAUAGCCUGGUUUAUCUGCAGAUGAACAGCCUGAAAACUGAGGACAUGGCCCUGUAUUACUGUGCGAGUGACACAGUGAGGGAAACAACAUCCCGAGGCUGCUGUCAACUGUCGGGUCAGACCACUGCACGGAAGCCUCAGUGGUUUUGUGAGCUAGGUGCAGUUGGGGCCACAUUUGCCAUACCUGACCCUGGGCUGGAAGUUUCUGGGGAAGACGUGAACAUGAACACGAAAUCCUGGUGGCUGCUCCCCUCCCUGAGGGCAGCUGCCCACUGGGUCCUGUCUGAAAUCCAGCUGGUGGAAUCGGGCUCAGGAGCAUUGAAACUCUCAGAGACCCUCAGACUCUACUGCGCAAUUUCGAUCCUAGCUAGCACUAGCCCGUGA